rfam:Schistosoma margrebowiei strain Zambia genome assembly, scaffold: SMRZ_contig0007143
AUCCAGCUGACGAGUCACUAACAGGAUGAAACGCGCGUCCUGGAU